GCCCCCGUAGCUCAACGGACAGAGCAGAGGUCUUCUAAACCUAAGGUUGUGGGUUCGAGUCCCGCCGGGGGCGCCU
rnacentral:tRNA from 1 species